AAAACCGCUGCGAACUAAC
rnacentral:snRNA from 1 species